UACGUAGGCAGCAAGCGUUGUUCGGAAUUACUGGGCGUAAAGGGUGCGUAGGCGGCUUUUUAAGUUUGGUGUGAAAUCUCCCGCUCAACUGGGAGGGUGCGCCGAAUACUGAGAAGCUAGAGUGUGGGAGAGGAAAGUGGAAUUCCUGGUGUAGCGGUGAAAUGCGUAGAUAUCAGGAGGAACACCGGUGGUGUAAACGGCUUUCUGGACCAUAACUGACGCUGAGGCACGAAAGCGUGGGUAGCAAACAGG
rnacentral:rRNA from 1 species